AUCCAAGUUGAUUCCCUCUCCAAGAGGCCAACUAAUGCCCUUCUCAGAAUGUAGCAACUUGGAAGAAAACUUGGCAUGCCUAAGGUCUUUGGGGAGCAAGGGAUGCGUAUUCCCUUUGCCUCACUUUGGCUGCCAAAAUGC
rnacentral:snoRNA from 1 species